rnacentral:lncRNA from 1 species
UCACCAACUAGGUGAUCGAAAGUACGUCUAGUACUCCAAAAUUAUACAUGAGCAUGACUCAUGUCAAUCAUACAUAAACAUUCAUGAGCAUCACUCAUGUCAAUCAUACAUAAACAUUCAUGAGCAUCACUCAUGACAAUCAUACAUAAACAUUCAUUACCAUUAUUUAUGUCAACAUUCAUGAGCAUCACUCAUGUGAACAUCCAUGAGCAUCACUCAUAUCAAUCAACAUAGACAUUCAUGAGCAUCACUCAUGUCAAUCAGCUUCAAAAGCUUCAUUUACAGAGCUCUAGCUUCAAAAGCUUCAUUUACAAAAGCUCUAGCUUUAAAAGCUUCAUUUACAAAGCUCCAGCUUCAAAAGCUUCAUUUACAAAAGCUCUAGCUUCAAAAGCUUCAUUUACAGAGCUCUAGCUUCAAAAGCUUCAUUUACAAAAGCUCUAGCUUCGAAAGCUUCAUUUACAGAGCUUCAGCUUCAAAGCUUCACUUGCAAAGCUUCAACUACAAAGCUUCAGUGCAGAGUAUACAAAUACCGCCUCCGAACAACCGCCUCUUCGGCCCAUACAUGGAUUCAAUUUGAAGUCUCCAGCCAACAUACUCUAUUGACCGAAGACUUGAGGGACUACAUUAUGUACCAUAUAUUGGGUCUCAACUGGGCCUCAUGAAAAAUACUUGAAUGACUCUAGCCCAUUAUUCAUGUAUUAAGGAGCGAGCCCUUAUUCUAUAAAAGGGACUCCCUCACCAUCAUUAGAGAGUAUCAACUCUAGCCCGUUAUUCAUGUAUUGAUGAGCGAUCCCUUAUUCUAUAAAAGGGACUCCCUCACCAUCAUUAGAGAGCAUUGCCGCCUACUGAGCAACCAUCUUGUCGCGAGCAUCAACUCUAGCCCAUAUUUAUGUAUUGAGGAGUGAGCCCUUACUCAGUAAAAGGGACUCCCUCACCUUCAAACGCCACAAGCCGAGCCAACUAAGGCAACAUAAGCCACAAGCAGAGCAGCCUCGCAACAUAUGCUACUUCUAGUUGAGCAUCAUUUCAGAUUGGGCACCGCCUCAUAUCGAGUAUCAGUUCUAGACGACAUCUAGUUACUUCGGCCCACACAUGGACUGAAUUUCAAGUCUCCAGCCAAAAGACUCUUGACUGAAGACUUGAGGGACUACUGUUUCUACCAUACUUAGGGCCUCCGUAUUUAGACCUCGUAUAAAUACUCGGGGGACUUAAAUGUAAUUAUGUAAUAAAGGAAUGGGCAAAUAUGUAAUAAGUGAGGAGCCCUUAUUCUAUAAAAGGACCCCUCACCCUCACAAUUAGGGAGAGCCUCCUCACAUCCCCUAAGAUCUAAGCUCUCUCAAAGCUCUCACUCUCAUAUUCAAAGCUCUCUUUCACAAUCAUCUUAGAGAAAUACAAUAAUCAGUGUGGACGUAGCCUAAACAUUGGGGUGAACCACAUUACAUCUUGUGUUAUUUACUUUCUUGCAGAUUCACAGUCGGAUUUACGUUGUUCCAAGACCUCAGGUUUUGUGCAUCAACAACCCUAUAUAAAUACAAUGAAGGAACUCGAUCUUCAAUUUAAAAUAUUUACACUAGUGGAUACCACAAAAUCUUAUGUUAUACUUAAUGAAAGUAUGAAUAAACUCUUGAGUGUUAGUAAAUAUAUCGUUUUGAUGGGAUACGCAUUCUAUGAAACUAAUUUCAAUGAUUCAACCAUCAAUGAAUACAAUGAAUUAACUCCUUGACUCUAUAUGAAUACAAUGAAUGAACUCGAUCUUCGAUUUAAAAUAUUUACACUAGUAAUUACCACAAAAUCUUAUGUUAUAAUUAAUGAAACUAUGAAUAAACUCUUAAAGUGUUAGUGAAUCUAUCGUUUUGAUGGGAUACGCAUUCUUCGAAACUAGUUUCAACGAUCCAACCGUCAAACAUGUUUGUAUAUACUUCGAGAUCGCAUACGCCAAAAAUUGCAAAAAAUAAACAUUCAUAGAUCAAGCAACGGAACAAAAUUUUUCGACGGUUAUCAAUGAAAAAUCACAAUGUAACGGUUAUUUUAACUUCGAUUUUGACGAUUUUUUAUAGCUAUCCUUGACCCUAUAUGAAUACAAUGAAUGAAUUUGAUCUUCAAUUUAAAAUAUUUACACUAGUGGAUUAUGUUAUACCUUAAUGAAAGUAUAAAUAAACUCAGUGUUAGUGAAUCUAUCAUUUUGAUGGGAUAUGCAUUCUACAAAACUAAUUUCAACGAUCCAACCGUGAAACUUGUUUGUAUAUGCUACACUCUUUAACUUCGAUUUUGAUCAUUUUUUACAGCUACACUCUUUGACCCUAUAUGAAUACAAUGAAUGAAUUUGAUCUUCAAUUUACAAUAUUUACACUUGUGGAUAUCUUAUGUCAUGAUGAUCGAUGAAAAUUGAGGAUUUUGUAAAAUGAAUAACAUGCAAGCUUUGAGUUCCAUUGGCAAGGUUUAAACUUUUGAGAAAGGCUUCACAACCUUAAAAACAAAAACUCUUUCAUUUUGCAUAUCUUUGCACAUUUAAUAUUUUGUAAUAGACUAGUAGUGUAUGAAAGUUUGUUUGUUAGGCUUUUAUUUUUGAGUGUAGAUGUAGUACUUAAACAACAAUGUGUUUUAAUGUUUUGAAGUAAUAUUUAUGUGGCAAUGUGUGGUAUGUGCAAAUUUAAGAAAAAAAAUAUUUUUCUUAACGGGUCAUAACGGGUCAGGUCACUUUACAUGUUGGGUAAAGUGACUCGACCUGUUAAGGACUCGUUAAGAUAAUGGGUGUGACACGAUACGAUCCGUUAAGAUAACAGGUGUUACACGAAAACGACCGACACGUAUUAGAUAUUACAGUAUUAAUAAAAAUCAAAGAGAUGUCGAGUAUUGAAGUUCUUCUUCUGAUGAAGAAAUCCAUUAAUUCUUGAUAUAAAAGAGACGUCGAGUGUUGAAGUUCUUUCCACUUUUUUUUUUGUAUAUAAAUCUCACUUCUUUUGAAUAACGUAUAAUAAUGGUAUAUGUUUCGUAAUUCGAAGUGUUCAAACUUUUAAUCUUUAUUUGAAGAUCAUUCUUAUGAAAAAAAUCAUUCCAAUCGAAAAUCAUUUAGUUAUUCACAAAAAGUGAGAUAUGUGCAUUAUUCCAUAGAGGAACGCAAAUAUUAUUCUAUAAUUAUUUGAAUCCAUAAUCUUGUUUCUCUUAAGGGAAAUUUCAUUUGAACUCAUCUAACAUCUUUCUACACCCAACUUACUCUCUUCACCCAUAUUAUUUUUUUAUUAAAGAAUUAAUAUCUCUUUAAACCCAAAUUUAUUACCUAAACCACCAUCUCAAAACCAAUUCAAAAUGUAAAGUUAUUUUUACACCCAUUCCCUUUAUAGAAUAACAUCUCUAAUUGAAUGUUUUUAUUCAAAGAGGCGUCAUUUGCCACUCUAUAAUUGCAUAUGACGUAUAAGACUGGCAUUUCCAUGGUUGUUUUUUUCUUUUUGCUACCAAACCCAUCCAUAGAUUUGAACUUUCCACAUAAUGCAAUGAAAGCUCCAGUUCAAUCCAUCACUUAAACAUUUGACCUUGAUGCUUUGAAUUUGGAUGGAGGCAUGUUUGGUGUGGGGUAAUAUUCUCAUUAUCCUUUUCAUUCAUCUUUAUGUUCUACUGUAUGAUGCAAAUAACCUUGUUUCCUCAGGGCUUAUGAUAAUCAUCACGUGAGUGAGGAGGACAUCACACUACCAGGUUGUAGAAGUUAAUUGUUGUUUGGAAUUCUCAUCUUUAUUAUUUGUCUUUAUCUGCACCAAGAAUCAAGUUAUAUGUCUUUUCAAUACUAAUCAAAAGUCCUUGCAAGGUGUUUUGGGGAACAGACAGACACAUGCAUAGAAAAACAAAUACAAUAUAAUAUAAAAAGUAUGAAAUUUAAUCCAAAGAAGAAGCAAAUGAACAAAAUAUCCAUCGAUUGAGUCAUACCUUAGUUGGAGGAUUCAAAACUUCAAAAUCACCAUCCAUCAAUAGAAAAGCUUGUUUUUCUCUAUCAGAGCUAUUAGGGUUUUAGCGGGAAAGAACGUAGGAUAGACAAAGGGUGAUGCUAGGGUUUAAUUAUAGUAUGUGGGUUUAUUGAUAAAUUUGAGAUUUGUUAUUAAUUUCAUUUUGUACUUAAUAGUAAUUACGCAAUCGGAUAAAAUAGAUAAUUAACAUUUUAAAUUUAAAUUAAGUGUAAAAAGAGGUUAUAAGGAUUUAAAUAAAAUUUCCCUUCUCUUAACUCUCUUUCCUCGCCCAAGUCGGCUGUCCACCUCCCAGAAUAGCCAGCAUUAAUUAUAGGCUUAAUGAUGAUAUCAAUUAUUUGAAUCAAACAGAUCCCCACCAAUCGUUUGAACAUAACCAUAAAGUGUCCGAAACUUUUACGCCAAUCAGUCACCACAUGCAUGAUUCCCAUAUUGAUGAUAAUUUCUUUACCUCUUUAACGCACUCGAUCCAAUUCUAAGAGUGGGGUCUAGCUAUAUUUGAGACACCUUAUGCUUUUGAAAAUUCUUCAAUCUAUCAGUCUAAAACACAUGAGUAGAUGAUGUAUAAUUGAGAAAAAGAAGUGACAUUAUUAUAUAGGAAAACUAAUGAAAAUAGUUUGAAAACAUUGACUUUUAAUAUAAAAUACAUAAAGGUGUUGUAAGUGAAUAGUACAUGUUGACCCUAAAAACUACCAAGCCUACGUGGCGCGCAGGCCGAGUAACUAAUAAGCUAACUACGCCAUUCGGUUGUUUGUGGGGCAUGUCAACUCAUCGGCCGAGCUUGGCCGAGGAGUAAAGUGUGUUGAUGUUGCGUUGAGCGUGCUGCUGACUUCUUGAUCUCAUGACUAUGGUCAAGGAAGGAACACGUCUCGGCCUUCGGGUUCUAGAGCCUGAAGACAACGCUACUAGUUCUGCGAAGUUUAUUAUCAAAAUCGGCUUUCAAUGUGCCGAAUGUAAUAACUUGUAACAUCUCACUUCGCCGAAAAGGCUAAUGAGAUGACCUCUGCCAAUAAGGAUUCGAAAAUCCUUCUUGACCGAGACUUAGAUAGAUAACCAAUCGGUCUCGACGCAGUGAUGUUCAUCCAAAUUGAAGGUGCUCCGCGGUUGGCUGAUUCUAUAGCAACAGUGAUGUUUAUCCAAACUGAAGAUGUUCCCUGGUUGCCUUCGCAAUGCUGUUUAUCCAAACUAAAGAUGUGUUGGCGAAAAAGAAAAUAAAAAAUCUCAAGAUGUUUGACAGGUUUCGCGUAGAGCGAGGGUUUGCGCAGAGCAGUUUGUGUGUUGAGUUGGAGAUCCUUUUUCGUUGCCAUUGCAUCUAUAUUUAUAGGACUAAAGUACUUGCUUUGCAUGGUAAGAUAAUGUUGCAGAGUUUAAUUGCCACUCUAAUUCCUGAAGUUGAUUUGCAUCAGAAACCAAAAACCAGGGCAUAUCCUUCAACUUGAGCCGUGGGAUUUGUUUCAAGACUUUUCAAACCUAAUAAAAGUCCAUCUAGGCUUAUCACAUCACAUUUCUAGCCCACCUAGGCUUCUCAUCUCAUCACCAAAACUCCAUCAGUAGCCUUUAUCCUAUGCAUGCAUAAUAAAAUGAAAUAUAAUCCCAUCAUGCAUGCCUUAUUAUCUGAUACUUUAAAGACCAUCUUCCAUCAAACACAUGGCAUCCAAUUCUUGCACGGCAUCAGUCAAUCACCCAUUCAAUCUCAUAUGUAUCUCCUCAUAGUCUUUAUCUGACCAACAUUUAAUUUGCACGCAAAUUGUUGCUUAACCAGAUAAGAGUCUCAAUGCUUGAGAUAUAGUUUGCAUCCCAUUUAUCUAAUAUAAAAACAAUUCUUUACUAAAAGAUAAUUAUUAUGAUAAAACCAUAAUAAUAUCUUUUAAUAACAAAAUUAUCUUCACCUUUUCAUUCGUCGGUCUGGCACUAUGCUCAACCAAUAGCCUCGAUUGCAUGGGUCGAUGAUGUAAAUUUAGGUCCAAACAUUACCCCUAGGUCAUUCGGUUGUUUACAGGGCGUGCUAACUCGUCGGUCGAGCUCGGCCGAGGAGUAAAAUGUGUUGAUGUCGGGUUGAGCGCGAGGCUGACUUCUCGAUCUUGCGACUGCGGCCGAGGAAGAAACACGUCUUGACUUUCAGGUUUUAGAGCUUGAAGACAAAGCUACUAAUUCUACAAGUUCACAAAUCGUCGGCGCCAGAUUCGGUCACGGUGAUUAUGUUCGUGAGAGUAUAAACACGCCAAAUCGACACUAGAGUAUAGGGACACAAAUACUCAAAACAAAUGUACGUCUUGAUUGCGAAAGUGGUUCGGCCGUUAGAAUGUCAAACUCUAAAAUCUACUUGCGAAUAACCGAUCAUAAACAACUCGGCGUUCAAUGUGCCGAAUGUAACUUGUAACACCUCACUUCAUCAAAAAGGUUAAUGAGAUGACCUUUGCCAAUAAGGAUUCGAAAAUCCUUCUCGACCGAGACUUGGAUAGAUAACUAGUCGGCCCUGUCGCAGUGUUGUUUAUCCAAACUGAAGGUGCUUCACAGUCAACUGAUUCUACGACAACAGUGUUGUUUAUCCAAAUUGAAGAUGUUCGCCAGUUGCCUUCAUAGUGUUGUUUAUCCAAAAUGAAGAUGUGUUGGUGAAAAAGGAAAACAAAGAUCUCAAGGUUGUUGAGAGGUUUCGCGUAGAGCGAGGGUUUGCGUAGGGCAAUUUGUGUGUUGAAUUGGAGAUCAUUUUUCGUUGCCAUUGCAUUUAUAUUUAUAGGACUAAAGUACUUGCUUUGCACGGUAAGAUGAUGUUGCAGAGUUUAAUUGCCACUCUAAUUCCUGAAGUUGAUUCACAUCAGAAACCAGAAACCAGGGCAUAUCCUUCAACCUGAGCCGUGGGAUUUGUUCCAAGACUUUUCAAACCUAAUAAAAGUCUAUCUAGGCUUAUCACAUCACAUUUUUAGCCCACCUAGGCUUCUCAUCUCAUCACCAAAACUCCAUCAGUAGCCUUUAUCCCAUGCAUGCAUAAUAAAAUGAAAUAUAAUCCCAUCAUGCAUGCCUUAUUAUCUGAUACUUUAAAGACCAUCUUCCAUCAAAUACAUGGCAUCCAAUUCUUGCACGGCAUCAGUUAAUCACCCAUUCAAUCUCAUAUGUAUCUCCUCAUAGUCUUUAUCUGACCAACAUUUAAUUUACACGCAAAUUGUUGCUUAACCAGAUAAGAGUCUCAAAGCUUGAGAUAUAGUUUGCAUCCCAUUUAUCUUAUAUAAAAACAAUUAUUUACAAAAAGAUAAUUAUUAUGAUAAAACCAUAAUAAUAUCUUUUAAUAACAAAAUUAUCUUCACCUUUUCAUUCGUCGGUCUAGCACUAUGCUCAACCAACGACCUCGAUUGCACGGGCCGAUGGUAUAAAUUUGGGUCCAAACAUUGCCCCCUAGUUUCCUUGAGUUUCGGCUCGUAACCUGAAUGUUUAAGGAAAUUAACUAUUCGUAGCCAACAACAUUUCGUCGUAUUGCCGAAACAAAUUUUGCUUCUUUAAAAUCACCUUUGUUCUGCUAAUGUUGUGAUCUCCUUCUGCUAAUUCACCGUUUGUCUAUUCCAUGCACAUGCAUGCAUUCUUACUUUAACAUUCAAUGGGUACCAAUUAUUUUCAGCAGCCCAUCUAUGAUGGCAGAAAAGCUGCAAUGGAGAGCAGAUGGCAGAAAAUGAGGGAGCUACAGCAGCCCUCGACUGCCGAGGUUGAGAAAAAAUUUGGAGUCAAGACCGAGAAGAACUGGGGUCGAGGGUAAAGUAAAGCUGAGAAGAACUGGGGUCGAGGUCGAUAAAAACCAUUCCUGGAGCUCGGCCUGCCUAUAUAUACAUAUCUAUAAAAGUAGCAUAAUUGUCUGAUGUGAUCUGCCAGCCAUGCAGUUGGCAUAUAUAUAUAUAUAUAUAUAUAUAUAUAUGUGUGUGUGUACACGGUAUCAUUCCUUCUUGGUAGUAGCACCCUGAAGCAAGCUAUAUAUAUAUAUAACCAAAGCCAUAAACUCAAAUCUUGGCCUAUUGGCUGUAAUGAUGAUGUCUGCCAUGCAUGUCUCUUCGACUUCGGCCUAAUGGUUGGCCGAGCGUAGGCCUGGUACCAUUUUUUUUUUCUUUAAUUUUUUUUUUUUUGAUUUUGAGAACUGCCAUCUCUCUUUCUAUCUCAUGUGAUGUGAUGUUGUUGAUGGGCCAUCUGACACACCUAAAGUGGACGCUGACUUGCAAAUGGGGCCGAGUUAAGCCUUGUGAUGCCAUCUUUUGGAUUGCCGCAUAUAAAAUGUUGCCCCCUUAUUUUUUUUAUGCCUCGGCUGAACAGCCGAAUGGUUAAGAAAAUAAAUUCUUAUUUGUGAUAGCUUGGCCUAUUGAGAAAACUGGCAGCUCGACCAAUCAAAGUUAGCAACGCUAAUUAUACCAUCUUCUUAAGCAUCGGCUGCAUAGCCGAAUGGUGAAGAAAAUAAAUUCUUAUUCUUUUUUUUAAGAAACAAAAAUAAGUGGUCGAACCAUAAUCAGGCGGAGGUUGACGAUGCUUUAUUCUAAGCCGAGAUUUUUUAAUAUCAAAAUUCUCAAAUUUAUUUCGCUCUAGGCUGAAUAAAGAAUUUUCUCCAAAUAUUUUUGCCUUGAUGAAAUAUUUUUUAUUUUCGGCCUUCGAAUGUGUUGAACAAUUAUUAUGCCCCCCCCCCCGAGGCAUAAUUACUUCUCCAAUUUCGGCUUUCAACUUGAACAACUUAGCCGAACGAGAUUUCUCCAUAUCGACUAUAUCACCAAUAAUCAUAUCGAUUGGCGUGGUUUGUUCAGCUGAAACCAUGAAUUGGUCUUGUUCGUCAUUGGAACACUUUUUUGAUGAAUCAUUUCAGAGUCGAUUUGUGGCUUAGAAACUUGAACCUUUUCCUCUAGGCCUACCAAACUUUCAGUCUCUACCGAAAAAACAGAUGACCUAGGUUCUUCUUUGGUCGUCUCGACAAUGUUCUGAGACUGGAUUUUGACUGUGGCCAAAGCAGAAAUUUGCCCCUCGGCCUCUUGCCUUUCAGAAAUUCUACCCCAUCUCUCGAAACGUUGUUUUUGCUCCUUUAAUAGGCGAUGAAACUCAUCCUAUGAAGCCUGAUCGAGAUAUAUCAUGUGUACUUCGUAGUUUUAGCACUGGGUCCUACUGGGUGUGCCAAAAUGUUGACCCUAAAAACUAGCAAGCCUACGUGGCGCACAGGCCGAGUAACUAAUAAGCUAACUAUGUCCUUCAGUUGUUUGUGGGGCGUGCCAACUCGUCGGCCGAGCUCGGCGGAUGAGUAAAAUGUAUUGAUGUUGUGUUGAGCGCACUGCUGACUUCUUAAUCUUGCGACUACGGCCAAGGAAGGAACACGUCUCGGCCUUCGGGUUAUAGAGCCUGAAGACAAGGCUGCUAGUUCUACGAAGUUCAAUAUCAAAAUUGGUUUUCAAUGUGCCGAACGUAAUAACUUGUAACACCUCACUUUGACAAAAAGGCUAAUGAGAUGACCUCUGCCAAUAAGGAUUCGAAAAUCCUUCUCGACCGAGACUUGGAUAGAUAACCAGUCGAUCUCGACGUAGUGCUGUUUAUCCAAACUGAAGGUGCUCCGCAAUCGACUGAUUCUACGGCAACAAUGCUGUUUAUCCAAACUGAAGAUGUUCGCCGGUUGCCUUCAUAGUGCUAUUUAUCCAAACUGAAGAUGUGUUGGUGAAAAAGAAAAUAAAAAAUCUUAAGAUGUUUGAGAGGUUUCGCGUAGAGUAAGGGUUUGCGCAGGGCAGUUUGUG